ensembl:lncRNA
UCGUCACAGAUGGUAGCCUUGGUGCAAUACAGGCACGGAUAGAGGAGCUGGCUGUCCUCGUCAAAGUACGCAGCCUAAACCUUUUCAAACAAACAGAUAGCAACAAGAGGCGACAUAAGAUACGAAGAGUCAUUUUAAAUGACAAAAACGCCUGGCAGCAGGUGUUGCCGAGUGCAAUCAUCUGGCUGAACCGUCUGGACAAAUUGUGUCACGUGGCCUUGGCAAAAUGAAAACCUUCACACCAAAAGGAUGGUGCAACGCCUGAAGGAGGAAGAAGUAAUCCUCUGUAAGGAAAUGCUGCAACACUGGACAGCACUAAAGACACAAUACUUGACACUGGGAGCCCUUUCUUCAAACUGUCCAAC